rnacentral:rRNA from 1 species
ACAGCAGUCGCCACGGGAAUACGUAGGGUGCAAGCGUUAAUUGGAAUUACUGGGCGUAAAGCGUGCGCAGGCGGUUAUAUAAGACAGAUGUGAAAUCCCCGGGCUCAACCUGGGAACUGCAUUUGUGACUGUAUAGCUAGAGUACGGCAGAGGGGGAUGGAAUUCCGCGUGUAGCAGUGAAAUGCGUAGAUAUGCGGAGGAACACCGAUGGCGAAGGCAAUCCCCUGGGCCUGUACUGACGCUCAUGCACGAAAGCGUGGGGAGCAAACAGGAUUAGAUACCCCAGUAGUCCCUGUCUCUUAUAC